UUUGUACUUCCACCGUCCGAAAAAGCUUGUCCCAAGUUUGUCUCUCAAAUGGAUGUAUCUAGUACUAACUUGGUGCUAGAUACUUCCAUUUGAGGGACAACCUUUUUCGGACGGAGGGAGUAUUAU
rfam:Triticum aestivum genome assembly, contig: Triticum_aestivum_CS42_TGACv1_scaffold_604563_7DL